rnacentral:rRNA from 1 species
UACGUAGGCAGCAAGCGUUGUUCGGAGUUACUGGGCGUAAAGGGUGCGUAGGCGGCUUUUUAAGUUUGGUGUGAAAUCUCCCGGCCCAACUGGGAGGGUGCGCCGAAUACUGAGAGGCUAGAGUGUGGGAGAGGAAAGUGGAAUUCCUGGUGUAGCGGUGAAAUGCGUAGAUAUCAGGAGGAGCACCGGUGGUGUAAACGGCUUUCUGGACCAUAACUGACGCUGAGGCACGAAAGCGUGGGUAGCAAACAGG